rnacentral:rRNA from 1 species
ACGCACUUUUCGGAGUGAGUGGCGAACGGGCGAGUAACAUGUGAGUAAUCUGCCUCUAAGUUAGGAAUAACUUAUAGAAAUGUAAGCUAAUACCUGAUGUGAUUUAUUUGAUACCUGUCAAAUAAAUUAAAGUGAUUAGCGCUUAGAGAUGAGCUCGCACCCCAUUAGCUAGUUGGUGCGGUAACGGCGUACCAAGGCAAAGACGGGUAGGUGGUCUGAGAGGAUGGUCACCCACACUGGAACUGAGAUACUGUCCAGACUCCUACGGGAGGCUGCAGUCGAGAAUCUUCCGCAAUGCACGAAAGUGUGACGGAGCAAUGCCGCGUGAAGGAUGAAUGUCUUUGGAUUGUAAACUUCUGUCAGGGGUGAAAAACUAUGAUGGUAGCCCCAGAGGAAGCCACGGCUAACUACGUGCCAGCAGCCGCGGUAAUACGUAGGUGGCAAGCGUUAUUCGGAUUUACUGGGCGUAAAGGGUCCGUAGGGGGCUGAGUAAGUUUGAUGUGAAAUUUCACGGCUUAACCGUGACUGUGCAUUGAAAACUGCUUAGCUAGAGUACUGUAGAGGUAAGUGGAAUUUGUGGUGUAGAGGUGGAAUUUGUAAAUAUCACAAGGAACUCCGAAAGCGAAAGCAGCUUACUGGGCAGAGACUGACCCUGAGGGACGAAGGCUAAGUUAGCGAAAAGGAUUAGAUACCCUUGUAGUCUUAGCAGUAAACGUUGUAUACUCGGUAUUGGGGGGAAUUAGCCCCCUCAGUGCCCAAGCAAACGCGAUAAGUAUA